UGGUGGAGUGAUUUGUCUGGUUAAUUCCGUAAACGAACGAGACCUUAGCCUGCUAAAUGGAUACAUGUAACCUCGGUUACAUGGGCAACUUCUUCAAGGGACUUUAUGUGUCUAACGCAAGGACGUUUGAAGCAAUAACA
rnacentral:rRNA from 1 species